AGUUAUCUGAAGAUGGUGACCUAGAGAUGCCACCCUCAGGGUUCUGACGUUUUCUUGGCCAUUAUUUGAACUUGGGACAUGUCUUUCAUCUGACUUCCCAUGAUCCUUCACAUUCUCUUUGGUCAAAGACAGUUGAUAUAAGGAUUCUAACAAGUCUGCCUCCUGCUGUUCUUCAGUCCCCUCUAUCCUCUUGUCUCUGAAGACUGCUAACAUUUUCACCUGAUGCCUGUCGCCAUCAUGGCCACACUUUCAAGUUAACAUAGGUGGACUUUGGCUCCUCUGUGUAGCAUAAUCUUCAUGUGUGAGAGAGGUUCUGGUUCACCUUGUCCUAUUUUGCAGCUCCACCUGCCACUUGUGAUGCUUCUUCUGGCUCUGGAAGACUUCUUUUUGCCUGCAUAGCAAACUUCACCCAGGUUGGGCAUCUGUCUAUGAGAAGCCAUCAGAGAAAUGAACCAGGGCCCUUCUUGGUCAACACCAUGUCUCCACUUCUACACUGCCUGGUUCUGUACCCAUAAUAGUGCCCCAAUCUAGGAAUUAAAACCUCCUAAUUUAGAUCAUUUUUAGCAUACAUGUUUUAGCUUAUUAGACAUAUGCAGCAUGGUCAGCAGACCAUGAGCUAUAUGCCCAUGUAUGUACACUUCAGCAUAUGUAAUAUAGUGACCAAUUUAAUGUUGUCUGAACCUAUGAUUUCAGCAGGGUUUUUUUUUAAAGCUUGCCUUGUACAACUGGAAGACAGCCCAAAGUCUUAAGAAUCUUACCUGCCUGAUUAUUAAUCAAAAUAUAAAAAUGGAAUGAUGGAUUUUUUGUGCAAAACAGGGCACAAAAAAUGGGCAUGCUUGCAUAUAUUUAGUAGCUGCCUUAUUGUACCUAUUUGAAAUUCAGAUUUAAAAUAGGUAGGGGUGUUUUAUCUUUCCCCAUCAAC
rnacentral:lncRNA from 1 species